AAUGAACCUAUCGAGUCGACCUCGUCGGAUGAGCUCCUCGAUCUCGUCUCGGAGCUGGAUGCAUUCCUCCAUGCCGUGGCCGUGGUCACGAUGGUAGAGGCAGAACUUGUUAGGAUUGCACUUCUCGGGGUGCGUGCGCAUCCUCUCUGGCCUUGGGAGCUGCUCUCUGACCUCCAUCAGCACCUGGAUUUUCGAUGCGUU
rnacentral:lncRNA from 1 species